CUGGAGGGAGCGCUGGAGAUUGCUACAUACAGAUACAUACCGCCACCACUAAAAGCAUCUCAGGAGAUUACUACAUACAGAUAUAUACAGCCACCACUAGAGGGAGCUCAGGAGAUUACUACAUACAGAUAUAUACAGCCACCACUAGAGGGAGCUCAGGAGAUUACUACAUACAGAU